rnacentral:misc_RNA from 1 species
CCGUCACUCUCCUAUUACCUAAAAACCCACCAAACAUUUCUCAUUUUUCACUAUAUAUUCAUCUUCUUCACUCUAUUUUCAAGGAAUCUCUUCCAUUUUUUUCCUCCUGAAAAUCACUUUUUCUUCAUUCACCAUGGAAGGCGCAGCAACAGCUCAAGCUUUAUCUCGUAUUGGGUUAGCUGGCUUAGCUGUUAUGGGUCAGAAUUUGGCCUUAAACAUAGCUGAAAAAGGGUUUCCUAUAUCUGUUUACAAUAGAACCACUUCGAAAGUAGAUGAAACCCUAGAUCGUGCUCAGAAUGAAGGACAGCUUCCAUUGAUUGGACAGUACAAUCCUCGUGAUUUCGUGUUGUCUAUUCAACGACCCAGAUCUGUUAUCAUUCUUGUUAAAGCGGGGUCACCUGUUGAUCAAACGAUUGCUGCGCUUUCUGAGUAUAUGGAGCCUGGGGAUACGAUUAUUGAUGGGGGUAAUGAGUGGUAUGAGAAUACUGAAAGGAGGAUUGAUGAGGCGUCGUCUAAGGGGCUUUUGUAUUUGGGUAUGGGUGUUUCUGGUGGAGAAGAAGGGGCGAGGAAUGGACCUUCGCUUAUGCCUGGUGGGUCUUAUGGGGCUUAUACGAAUAUCAAAGAUAUUCUUGAGAAGGUUGCAGCUCAAGUUGAGGAUGGGCCUUGUGUUACUUAUAUUGGUGAAGGUGGGUCGGGGAAUUUUGUGAAAAUGGUGCAUAAUGGAAUUGAAUAUGGUGAUAUGCAGUUGAUUUCGGAAGCUUAUGAUGUGUUGAAGAAUGCGGGUGGGUUGAGUAAUUCUGAAUUGGCUGAUAUUUUCGCCGAAUGGAACCGUGGGGAAUUGGAGAGCUUUUUGAUUGAAAUUACAGCGGAUAUAUUCAAUGUGAAGGAUGAAUUGACUGGAAAUGGGGAGUUAGUGGACAAGAUUUUGGAUAAGACAGGAAUGAAGGGGACGGGGAAAUGGACUGUGCAGCAGGCGGCGGAGCUGUCUAUUGCAGCUCCGACGAUUGCUGCUUCGUUAGACAGUAGGUACAUGAGUGGAUUGAAGGAUGAGAGGGUAGAAGCCUCAGAGAUUUUUAGGAAGGAAGGUUUAAAGGAGGAAAUAAGUUCUGAUAUUAAUGGUAUUAGCAGUGUUGAUAAGAAGAGAUUGAUUGAUGAUGUGAGGCAGGCAUUGUAUGCGUCGAAAAUCUGUAGUUAUGCUCAGGGGAUGAAUUUGCUAAGGGCAAAGAGCUCUGAGAAAGGUUGGAAUUUGAAUUUGGGAGAGAUGGCUAGGAUUUGGAAAGGUGGUUGUAUUAUCAGGGCAGUGUUUUUGGAUCGUAUUAAGAAGGCGUAUCAGAGGAAUCCUAAUUUGGCUAACUUGAUGGUUGACACGGAGUUCGCAAGGGAGAUGGUGCAGAGGCAAGCUGCUUGGAGGAGAGUGGUGGGACUUGCUGUUCAGAAGGGAAUUAGUGUUCCUGGAAUGUCUGCUAGUCUUCAGUAUUUCGACACCUACAGGCGUUCUAGGCUUCCCGCGAACCUUGUGCAGGCUCAGAGGGACUAUUUCGGGGCACAUACUUAUGAGAGAGUUGACAAGCCAGGAGCAUACCAUACCGAGUGGGCAAAACUUGCUAGGAAAGCUCGAGUGUAAUGCUGCUGCAGCUAUUGCGGAUUAUGAUCAAAAUCUCUGGUAUUAGUCGCGCUUUAGUACUUUUUUCGUUUAGUUUUGCAGUUAAUAAUGUUGUAUGCCUUUGAACAUUAUAGGGCCUUCGCUAUCGAAAUGACUUCUUCCAUUGAAGUAAAAGAAGUUGCUUUUCCUACAUUACAUUUUGAUGCAUACAAAUUACCUGCACUUUUAUUUAUAUAUAUGGAUUAUUAUAGCUCCUCACUCU